rnacentral:rRNA from 1 species
GAUGAACGCUGGCGGCGUGCCUAAUACAUGCAAGUCGAGCGAACAGGUGAGGAGCUGGCUCCUCUGACGUUAGCGGCGGACGGGUGAGUAACACGUGGAUAACCUACCUAUAAGACUGGGAUAACUUCGGGAAACCGGAGCUAAUACCGGAUAAUAUAUUGAACCGGAUGGUUCAAUAGUGAAAGACGGUUUUGCUGUCUCUUAUAGAUGGAUCCGCGUCGCAUUAGCUAGUUGGUAAGGUAACGGCUUACCAAGGCAACGAUGCGUAGCCGACCUGAGAGGGUGAUCGGCCACACUGGAACUGAGACACGGUCCAGACUCCUACGGGAGGCAGCAGUAGGGAAUCUUCCGCAAUGGGCGAAAGCCUGACGGAGCAACGCCGCGUGAGUGAUGAAGGUCUUCGGAUCGUAAAACUCUGUUAUUCGGGAAGAACAAAUGUGUAAGUAACUAUGCACGUCUUGACGGUACCUAAUCAGAAAGCCACGGCUAACUACGUG